rnacentral:rRNA from 1 species
UUUGAUCCUGGCUCAGAGCGAACGCUGGCGGCAGGCUUAACACAUGCAAGUCGAGCGGGCGUAGCAAUACGUCAGCGGCAGACGGGUGAGUAACGCGUGGGAACAUACCUUUUGGUUCGGAACAACACAGGGAAACUUGUGCUAAUACCGGAUAAGCCCUUACGGGGAAAGAUUUAUCGCCGAAAGAUUGGCCCGCGUCUGAUUAGCUAGUUGGUGAGGUAAUGGCUCACCAAGGCGACGAUCAGUAGCUGGUCUGAGAGGAUGAUCAGCCACAUUGGGACUGAGACACGGCCCAAACUCCUACGGGAGGCAGCAGUGGGGAAUAUUGGACAAUGGGCGCAAGCCUGAUCCAGCCAUGCCGCGUGAGUGAUGAAGGCCCUAGGGUUGUAAAGCUCUUUUGUGCGGGAAGAUAAUGACGGUACCGCAAGAAUAAGCCCC